rnacentral:rRNA from 1 species
UACGGAGGGUGCAAGCGUUAUCCGGAUUCACUGGGUUUAAAGGGUGCGUAGGCGGACAGGUAAGUCAGUGGUGAAAUCUCUGGGCUUAACCCAGAAACUGCCGUUGAUACUAUCUGUCUUGAAUACUCGGGAGGUGAGCGGAAUAUGUCAUGUAGCGGUGAAAUGCUUAGAUAUGACAUAGAACACCAAUUGCGAAGGCAGCUCACUACAGAGUCAUUGACGCUGAGGCACGAAAGCGUGGGGAUCAAACAGG